rnacentral:lncRNA from 1 species
ACAGGACUUGUGAUGUAGAUCGUCGUCAUUUUUGUUUCACAAACAAGGAAGGAGAAUCUCAGAGAUUCCGUAAACUCCAUAAAGCGGUGAUUCAUGACAGAAGCAGGGACGCAACUUCGACCAGUUGUGAAGGAUCAAACCCAGGACCGUGUUCAGGCUAAGCAAGCAUCCAACCACUGCGCUACAUCAGAAGCCCUUUUUUUGUGACUGGCUCUCUCUAUGUAAAGCUGACCUUGAACUUCCUCUGUACUCCACAUUGACCUGGAAACUGUCCUCUCUCUACCUACAUAGUGCUUGGAUUAUAGCUGUGACCACCUCAGGUGAACAUGCUUUCAUUUCUUCUGAUACUUUUACAUGUUAUUAUCAAGAUGGCCUAACUCUAAUUUUCCAUUUCUGUAGGGGAAAAUGUCUAUAAACAUUUCAGCUCAAUAAAUAGUUGAUUGUGGUGG